ensembl:antisense Tmem51os1 Tmem51 opposite strand 1
AUCUCGACCUGGGUGGCUUCGUGGGUGCGCAGCCAGCUCUUUGAAGUUCAAGGCUUGAGAAGUCCCUGGGCAGCCGGGUGUCAGAGGAUUCGGCUGGGGUUAAAAGGCGCCUCCUACUGGAGCUGCCUGCCUCCUUAUCCCACCACGCUGCUACCUCACCAGGACCGGAGGGGAGGCCUCAAAAAUGAGAAGAUUCUAUUCUUGGAUCUGCCAGCACUGGGGCUGUCUCUGCAGCCCUGGCUCGGAAUACCCACACCUAGAAUUUCCAAGAGCUGGCAGGAUAAUGGGCGCCCAAAGCUGUUCACAUCUCAAGUCUCCGGAACCCAGGACCUUAGGUGGUAGACUGCAGGAUCAAUAUGAGUAUCAGAGGCAGCAGCAGGAUGCGAUGCUCUGUGUGAGCCCCCAUGACAUCUGAACUGCAGUUGCUGAGACCUGAACUGCCCACUCGGGAACACAGGACUCUUUAGAGCGGGCUUGUCUGAUGGACCAUUCUUGAACUCUGGACACGUGAUGCUUGAAAAUGAGUGUCUAGCGGGGCUUGGUGAUGCACGCAGGUAACCCCAGUGCCUUUGGGAACUGAGGCAGGGGGAUCAGAAGAUCAGGGUCACCCUUUUUGAGGAUAACUUUGUUUGGUACACACACCAAAAAUCAAAAACUAAAAAACAAAAAACAAAACAAAAAAAAAAAA